GGAAGUAAAGGUCGUAACAAGGUUUCCGUAGGUGAACCUGCGGAAGGAUCAUUAAAGAAUCGCCCCGUUUUUUAUAAAUGGGUUCUAUUCCCAAACCGUGUAUACAUACCUUUGUUGCUUUGGCAGGCCGCCUCCGGGCGCCGGCUCCGGCUGAUAGUGCCUGCCAGAGGACCCAAACUCUGUGUUUAGUGAUGUCUGAGUACUAUAUAAUAGUUAAAACUUUCAACAACGGAUCUCUUGGUUCUG
rnacentral:misc_RNA from 1 species